ensembl:snRNA
AAAAAGGGCUUCUGUCGUGAGUGGCACACGUAGGGCAGCUCGUUUGCUCUACGUGCGGAAUCGACAUCAAGAGAUUUCGGAAGCAUAAUUUUUGCUAUCGGGGCAGCUGGUGAUCGUUGGUCCUGGCGCCCCU